CUGCCUGCCAUCCCAGGGUGGGCCGGGAGAGGAGAGCAGCUGAGCUGGCAUGGUGCCUGCGCCUGGGGAGCUAUUUGGAGAUGCGUUUGAUGUCUCCGCCGCAAGGGUGAUGGAUGCUGGGGCGAACGUCGUGAUGGCACAGCCAACGCUCUGUGCUGGGCUUUGAAGUCUCCCGAGCGGAGCAUCCCAGCUCGCAGAUUUGGGAAGACAUGGACUACGGGGCAGGAGAUGCUACUUGCCAAGGCGGCUCCGUGAGGAGCAGCCUCAGAGCUCAACAUCCCAGCUGCACCCUGCUCCAGGAGGACGCAGGAGUUCCCCGUCAGCUGUCCCUUCCUCCGCAUCUCUGUCACUGUGUCCCCGGUGUGCAGAGCCCGGUGAGAUGCCGCCACGCACCGUGGGCUCCUGAAGCCAUGGAGCAGCACAGACCCAAGGAGGAGGACGAGCAGGCUGAGGUGAUGCUGCCCGUUGCUUGCAGUGGGUGCUGCAGCUUGCCUGGAGGAAGCCCCCACAAUAACUCAGUGCGUAAACGUGGGAGGAUACAGGACAGGAGACCUGGAACGUCCGUGCCGUGAGAGACCGGCCGGUCCUCCUGCAGUCCUCUCACACCUGCAGGGUCAGAACAGGUGAACAGACUGAGACGGCUGUUGGUGUGCAGUCCCUGACAGGAGCAGCGGAAGAGCCUUAAGGAAGCGGGGCUCUCCCAGAAGAGAGAGGCACGCAAACACUGCUGCUGUAAAGCUCCUGGAGGGCCGUCCGCAGGCUGCGCUCCUCCUCGUCCUCGUCGUCGUCGUCCUCGUCCUCGUCGUCGUCCUGCUGCUGCUGCUGCUGCUCCUCCUCGUCCUCGUGCCGCCUGUUUGCAAGCCAAGGACACGUGAAAGGAACGUCAGCGGGACUGAGGCGGAGCUGCACCCAGCCUGUGGUGGGCGACCCAAUAAAAGCCAACUGUUUC
rnacentral:lncRNA from 7 species